CGUUCGGUGAGUGUGUUUUUGCUGGUGGCUGGGCCGGUUUUGGGGUGUAAUUUUCGGGCUCAAUUAAAACACGUCAAAACACUCGUGGGCUAUUCGGUGGGCCGGUUUUGGCCGGGUACGAGCCCAGAAAACCCCCCAAGACCCGUUGGGUUGACGUGUAAACGAGACGCUCCACCCCCCUCGCGUUUUGGCUGGCGGCGCAGGGCUCGCGACGCUCGAAGCCUACACCGCAGCCGCCGCCCGUUCGAAGCCUCGCUGCCGCCGCCGCCCGUUCGAAGCCUCGCCGCCGCCGUCGAAGCUCGUCUCCGAAUCCGUCCCGCAGCAAACCAGCGACGGUCCCUGUCGAGACCUCAUCUUCUCCGGCCCUGCGAGCGACCGACACAGAGCUCCUUCCGCCGCCGAGACGGAGCUCUUCUCGCUGCGCCUCUUCUCCGGCCAAGCUGGAUACCUCUGUCCUCCAACCGGUGGAGUGAAUGGAUGGCCCGCUUCAAGUCUGGAGUUUAUGGAGUGUCAUUUGUGGGGUGAAUAAUAACAAUAACAAGCUUGUACUAUGUUAUUAUAACCUGAGUUAGUUUCAGUGCCAAUGGAUAAUUCAAUCUCUCUGUCUAGUCGAAAAUGGCUGCAUUUAUGAAUUCUACAAGUUCUUGAUUGUUA